rnacentral:rRNA from 1 species
UACGAAGGGGGCUAGCGUUGCUCGGAAUGACUGGGCGUAAAGGGCGCGUAGGCGGAUGGCACAGUCAGAUGUGAAAUUCCCGGGCUUAACCUGGGGGCUGCAUUUGAUACGUGUGAUCUAGAGUGGAGGAAGAGGGUCGUGGAAUUCCCAGUGUAGAGGUGAAAUUCGUAGAUAUUGGGGAAGAACACCGGUGGCGAAGGCGGCGACCUGGUCCUUGACUGACGCUGAGGCGCGAAAGCGUGGGGAGCAAACAGG